UAUGGCGAUAUCACACAGAAACACUAGUUCUCAUCUGAUCACUGAAGUCAAGCAACAUUGAACCUGGUCAGUACCUAGAUGGGUGACCACUCAGGAAUACCAGAUGCUGUAA